CACCCGUCUUCACUGGACAUGCUUGGUCGGCAUCAUUUAUUGACUCAACACUUAGCGUCUGCGUACUGAAGCUGUUAAUCUAGUCUAGCAAUCACUACAGUAGUCAGGUUCAUAAAUACACAAAUGACGCUUAAUCCAAUCUUGACGAGGGUUCCGUCCCACAUGUAUGCGUGCUGAAGUUUGACAUCUGUAUCUCAGCAAUGAGAUUGUUUCGUAGGACGCUUUGUUGGUACGACCACAGGAUAUAGGGAUCUCUGUGCGGGUGGAGAUUCAUUGAAGUACUCAUCCCUUUCAUUGGAAACUUCAAGGAGGAUUUUCUUCAAAUGAGCAUUCUGGGCCAGGAGCUUGGUCUUCUCCGUCUCCAGACUGCUGAUAUGCUCUGAAGUUUGUUGAAGGAUUGCAGCCUGGAAAAAACACAACCAUGUUUAACCAGCUACUAUAAAUAACUGUCAAGUAUGCGUCUGACCUAAAUACCACCUAUGGAUAGGGGAACAAGUUGUGGAUGCAGUGAAGCAUACACUGUAGGGUCGUUCAGUUCACUAGUAGCUUUCAACACCACAGGCUGUGCAUGAAUGGACCUGCCAGCUCGAGACUGUUCCCACACUCCGACUUCAUUAUCAUAUAAAAGUCGAUGGCAUGUCGACUAUUUACAAUGAAUGGCAUUAUGAUUGGUUCGACAAACCGGCCUAUCCUUGUACCUGAAAGGCAUUUUAAGACACUGUAUAGAGGAUUUUUGAAACUUCUUUGUAAGUUCAGUCAGUCGUGAGUUCAACAAUUACAUAUUAAUGACAAACGUGUAAAUCUGCAAAUAAAUGUUUAAGAGUAAUGUUCAGGA